rnacentral:rRNA from 1 species
AAGCGUACACGGUGGAUGCCCUGGCAGUCAGAGGCGAUGAAGGACGUGCUAAUCUGCGAAAAGCGUCGGUAAGGUGAUAUGAACCGUUAUAGCCGGCGAUGUCCGAAUGGGGAAACCCAGUGCAAUUCGUUGCACUAUCGUUAACUGAAUACAUAGGUUAACGAGGCGAACCGGGGGAACUGAAACAUCUAAGUACCCCGAGGAAAAGAAAUCAACCGAGAUUCCCCCAGUAGCGGCGAGCGAACGGGGAGCAGCCCAGAGUCUGAAUCAGCUUGUGUGUUAGUGGAACGGUCUGGAAAGUCCGACGGUACAGGGUGAUAGUCCCGUACACCAAAAUGCACAGGUUGUGAACUCGAAGAGUAGGGCGGGACACGUGGUAUCCUGUCUGAAUAUGGGGGGACCAUCCUCCAAGGCUAAAUACUCCUGACUGACCGAUAGUGAACCAGUACCGUGAGGGAAAGGCGAAAAGAACCCCGGCGAGGGGAGUGAAAAAGAACCUGAAACCGUGUACGUACAAGCAGUGGGAGCACCUUCGGGUGUGACUGCGUACCUUUUGUAUAAUGGGUCAGCGACUUAUAUUCUGUAGCAAGGUUAACCGUAUAGGGGAGCCGCAGGGAAACCGAGUCUUAACUGGGCGUUAAGUUGCAGGGUAUAGACCCGAAACCCGGUGAUCUAGCCAUGGGCAGGUUGAAGGUUGGGUAACACUAACUGGAGGACCGAACCGACUAAUGUUGAAAAAUUAGCGGAUGACUUGUGGCUGGGGGUGAAAGGCCAAUCAAACCGGGAGAUAGCUGGUUCUCCCCGAAAGCU